UUGGUUCUUUCAUAAUUUUGGGAACCAUAAUUGAGCCGAUUGAGAGAUUUAAGUGGUUAAAUUUUAGCUUGUAAUCUACAACUUCCUGUGUUGAGAGGAAUUAACCUAUUAGCUGUGAGAUUGGGAAGGGGAAAUUCCUCUUGCUUUUAGAUAGUCUUCACAAUCAAAGAGUAUCUGUUAGUGAUCCAUUAUAAGUAUUUCCAUUGCCUUGUGGAAGUAUAGUAAACCCAGUUACGUGCUUCGGGUCUGUAUGGUUUUGAGGUAUGUCUCUCUUAAGUAUCAUUGCUAAAACUGUCUUGUCUAUACAGAGCAAGCAGAUGAUGAGUUGGCUGAUUCUGGAGGGUGCCCUGGUAUUAUUCCACAGAAAUGCUCUGAACUUGAGAAAAACCAGAAAAACGAGGAGAGGGCUCAGAAGUAGUAAUAGGAAGUCUGGUAAAGAUGCCAAGGAAGUGCAGGAGGCGCGUACACAUUUGCUGGAGGAAGAAAUGAAAAAAUUGAGGCUUGAGUAUCAUAUGGCAAUGGACUGCUUGAGAAGGAGUAUUGGACAGGAUAUUUACUCAUGCUUCCUUUCUAAUGUUGUAUCCAUCAUCCCCCAAGUUCUGAGCUCGGAAACCAUCCAUUACCAUUGCGGGUAUAUCAUUUUAAGCCUUCUUGGUGAUGGACGAUAUUUACCUGUUCAAAUUAAUCACAGUAAGCUCGAUGGUAUAAUUGGAAAGCAAAUAAAAAUGUUCAUAGUAUAUAAUACAUGACACAAAUGAUGGGUGUGGAUAUUAUAUCCUAUAAUGUUUCUUUUGAUGUCA